UACGAAGGGGGCUAGCGUUGUUCGGAAUCACUGGGCGUAAAGCGCACGUAGGCGGAUCUUUAAGUCAGGGGUGAAAUCCCAAGGCUCAACCUUGGAACUGCCUUUGAUACUGGGGAUCUCGAGUCCGGAAGAGGUGAGUGGAACUGCGAGUGUAGAGGUGAAAUUCGUAGAUAUUCGCAAGAACACCAGUGGCGAAGGCGGCUCACUGGUCCGGUACUGACGCUGAGGUGCGAAAGC
rnacentral:rRNA from 1 species